CUUGUCUGGAGAUCCUUUCUUCUGGUGUUUUUUGUAGGUGAGCCUAGUACAUGGAGGGUUAACUGCUGCCAGUGAGUGCUGGUUAGAGAGUAGGAUUCCUUGCAGGUGAGGGAAGGGGUGAUGCAGCAGGAAAGUGUGCAGCCACCGCACUCAAAAGAGAACAGUAAACCCCUCAACAUUGGGCAGAUCAGAGCCUGUGUCAGCGGGGUGCUCUUACAACAAGGGACUUUAUUACAGCUUAUCCAACUCUUGGCAAGUUCUCAAUCUGGAGAACUGGUUUGUACUACAGAGAUUGCUGCUCUGCGUUGCAUGCUAAUGGAGAUGUAUAGCUGCACCUGCCCUGGGAGCAAACUGACCUGCAGGAGAGCAACCCACCUAAGCAGUGAGCUUCUGGCAGACCUCACAUUCAGCCCCUCACGCUUAUUCCUCUCAUCUAUAGUUACAGUUUCCCUGCUUGCCAUGGAAUAAAACUCAGGAAUGCAGUUUCCAGGCCCCUGCCUUGCCAAAAUUGAGUGCGUUUGCCUCUUCUGUCCUGAGCGAGCAUUAAACCCCCUUUAAGUUCAAUAAAUACUCCCCAGGCCUGGCCAGCAAGGUAACUGGAGGCUGCAUCGCUUGUCACUGCAGAUGACACAUGCCUCUCUCUCAGGAUGUGGUUUAAUGAGCUUCUUCAUGGUCUCCCAAGGCAGAAGUGUAUUUAUGGCACAAGAGGAGAUUUAUAUAGUUUUUCUUUAAAAUCUGUCAGCUAAUAAUAGCUGUGGCUGGGGCUGGGUUGUGCCGGUCUCACACACAGGUAUAAAUCAAGGCUGUGUGCUCAAGCCCUACCAUCAUUUUCUCCCAUUUGGAGACCGAGUAGAUAACAUUGUGUGCAAAACGUUUGCACCCAAGAGAGAAGGAUAGAAAGACAUUCCAGCUGAAUUAGAAAGGCCCAAAACCUUACCUACAUCCUCGCCUUUCCCUGCUGCCCCAAACCACCUGGACCACCACACUGCACCCCCAUCCCCUGGACCAGCUUGCAGGCCAGCUCUCCAAGCCAGCACCAAGGCAAGUUACCAGCAGAAAGAGGCUAUCCAGGACUCAUCUUCACCCUGCCAAGCGACCUAUAUCUCUCCAGCCUCAACCAGCCAGCCAAGCCAAUGAAAUGCUGCUCGCUGUCCCCUGGCACUGCACAGCCCUGAAUAGCACAAAUGCCCACAGGACAGUUUUUUCAAACAAAACAGAUGCACAUUAUUUUUUAUCCAGGAGGUGAAGGGGGCUGAAUAAAAUAGCUAACAGGUACCAGAGGGACGAGUUCUGCUAAUUCUGCUCAUGAUAAAGGUCUUUUAAAAUGCCUCUGGUGCCUGAAGCGCUGAUGAGACUCCAGGUUUGCUGAUUCGUGGGCCGCGGGCCAGGCUCCCUCUGGAGCCCAUUAGAUGUCCUAUAGAUAGGCAGCUGGAUGCAUGGCACACGGUGCAGCCACGCCAGCCACAAGCUGAAAAGCAUUACUAAGCAAGAGAGAUUUCCCAUUUCUGACAACAGGGCCAGGGAGGGGGUACAGCUUCUGGAAACCACAGCAGAUUAGCUCGUGGGGUUUUUUGUUGCUCUUCGUACCACGUUAAAUAUUUUAGCAUGGAGCUAAACAACCUGAGGAGGAAGAAUCAUAGAGCCACACAAUCACACAACAGCCCCAGCUGGAUGGGACCGUGAGGAUCACCGAGUCCAACACCUGGCUGCACGCAGGACUUCCAAACUCACAUCCUCUGUCUGUGAACAGUGCCCAUGCAGUGCUCAGGGUGAGAAUGAUGGGGACAGCUGGGCUGUGUGUGCUCCUCCCCAUCAGUACUCUGCCCCACUGCCACCUACGCCCAUUCUCAACUUUCUUGCUUACACCCAAAACCUCAAGCAUGCAUCUGCAGCACAGGAUGACAUUUUUAUGGCACAGAUUUGUGCAAAGCCACGGUGAGAAGCUGCUGCCCUUGUGCCAGCAGGGCUCCUCAUCCUGCCCCAGGCUGCGCUGUUCCUUCCCUGAGAGACCAACCCAAGCUCGGUGCUGGACUGAGUAAUUCAAUAGGUUUGCAGAUCUGCCUCGGGUCAAUUUUAAUUCUAUUUAAAGGACAGUCGAUCGAGCCAUCUCUGGGGUUUUCUGAGAUGGAAUUUCAUAUUGUGUUUAAUAUGCGCUGAAUGCACCGGCCAGGGGAGAGAGCACUUCAGCGUCGAUGAGACAUAAAGGAUGGGAUGGGAAGCGCUCUGCAGCCUUCCUCCUUUUCUAUUUUCAGCUCUGAGGCCCUCACGAGCUGCACUAAGGAAAGCUGGCUCCACUGGGAUUUAUUGGAAGGCCCCCAAGGCACAGAGCAACCCCUGCCUGAGCCCUCCUAGCUAAAAGCACGCAGUGAGGCCACGUCACACCGCUGUGCACAGCCUUUGGAGCCAGGGGAGAAAGCCUGCAGUGAGAUGGGGGUAACCCAAAGAGCACAAGUACUGCUGCAUGGCCAUCAGCCUCCGCUCCACCCCCACAACUGCCAUAAAGCAGGGGGUAAUGUCACUGAGGAAGGGAUGAAGGAGAUGGAUAUUAAUAAAGAAAGAGGGCUUUCAAUGCUGCUGCUCAUCUAAAACGUUCCCUUAAGUGCAGAACAAGACAUUAAAGUACUAAGACACAAUUUCCAUGCAACUUAAUAAAGGGGAAAUGAUAUCACCGCUGGAAAAAAAAUAACACAAAAUACAUACAGGGGAAUUUGAUUGUGUUGCUUUAUGCUCAGAUCAAUCCUGAGACUGCACUGCACAAGCAAAGAGGUUAUCAGCACUGCCUCCCACCGCUUGUGCCAGCAUGCAACAGGAGCUCAGCCACAGUACUGGGAACAAAC